rnacentral:rRNA from 1 species
CCUACGGGUGGCAGCAGUGAGGAAUAUUGGUCAAUGGCCGCAGGGCUGAACCAGCCAAGUCGCGUGAGGGAUGACGGUCCUAUGGAUUGUAAACCUCUUUUGUCAGGGAGCAAAGGGCGCCACGUGUGGCGCUUUGCGAGUACCUGAAGAAAAAGCAUCGGCUAACUCCGUGCCAGCAGCCGCGGUAAUACGGAGGAUGCGAGCGUUAUCCGGAUUUAUUGGGUUUAGAGGGUGCGCAGGCGGAAUGUCAAGUCAGCGGUAAAAUUUCGGGGCUCAACCCCGUCGUGCCGUUGAAACUGGCGUUCUUGAGUGAGCGAGAAGUAUGCGGAAUGCGUGGUGUAGCGGUGAAAUGCAUAGAUAUCGCGCAGAACUCCGAUUGCGAAGGCAGCAUGCCGGCUCCACACUGACGCUGAGGCACGAAAGCGUGGGUAUCGAACAGGAUUAGAUACCCUAGUAGUC